UUGACAGAAUGCACUGUUUUGCCACAAAAACGUUGUAACAUCCUAAACUGGAGUAGGGGGUACCUUCAGAGCCGGAGACCCCGGAGGCCCCGGAGAGCCGGAGAGCUGCAGUUUCAGGACCGCAGUUCUAGGACCCUCGUUUUAUCUGACAGCGCCACGUAGCGAAUAGAAUAAACAUGGACCGGAACAAGAUAAUAUUUUCCUGCAGUAGUGAAUAUUGUAGGAUUACGGCUCAGAACAAGAUGGACUAGAAUCAGAGUGCCAUCAUAUAGGCUACGGCCUGAGUAUGCUGAGGAAUCUGUCCCUGCAGGAUGCAGAAAAUGUCUUCAUCUCUGGACCAGUUUAUCAUCGGAGUGAAGUGGAGGAGUUUGAUAGGGGGAUACAUAACAAUUGCGCACUGAAGGGAGACCAUUCAACUAGAUGAAGUUGUAUGGAGGUCUAGAUGGAGUGAUAUGGAGGGGAUGGAGUGAUAUGGAGGGGUGAUUGUCAUUGUUUGACAAUUAUUCAAAAUAAACUAUGUAUAUCUUGAAUCUGCCCUGAGAGUCAACCUUGUGUCUUGCCUCUCUAACAUUACACAUUUGUGGUUGAGAUUGAGUGACUGCAAAAGCCAUAGCAAAUAGAAUAGAACUUCACUCUUCCAGAACUUUGUGGUGUCAGACACAUCCAAAUUGUAGCAU